UGCGUAGGCGGUACGCUCAGUCAGUGGUGAAAUCCCGCAGCUUAACUGCGGAACUGCCAUUGAUACUGGCGUACUUGAGUACAGACGAGGUAGGCGGAAUUUAUGGUGUAGCGGUGAAAUGCAUAGAUACCAUAAAGAACACCGAUAGCGAAGGCAGCUUACUAGACUGUAACUGACGCUGAGGCACGAAAGCGUGGGGAGCGAACAGGAUUAGAUACCCUGGUAGUCC
rnacentral:rRNA from 1 species